rnacentral:SRP_RNA from 1 species
GCCAGGCAUGGUGGUGCAUGCCUGUAAUCCCAGCUACUCGGGAGGCUGAGGCAGGAGAAUUGCUUGAACCCGGGAGGCGGAGGCUGCAGUGAACAAAGAUCACACCACUACAAUUGCACUCCAGCCUGGGUGACAAAGCAAGUCUCUGUCUCAA